AUUGAACGCUAGCGGGAUGCUUUACACAUGCAAGUCGAACGAGUGGCGGACGGGUGAGUAAUAUAUCGGAACGUGCCCAGUAGCGGGGGAUAACUACUGGAAAGCGUGGCUAAUACCGCAUACUAUUGGAGCGGCCCAUAUUGGAUUAGCUAGUUGGUGGGGUAAAGGCACACCAAGGCCACGAUCUGUAGCUGGUUUGAGAGGACGACCAGCCACACUGGGACUGAGAGACGGCCCAGACUCCUACGUGGGGCAGCAGUGGGGAAUAUUGCACAAUGGGCGCAAGCCUGAUGCAGCCCUGCAGCGUGUAUGAGAAGGCCUUCGGGUUGUAAAGCACUUUCAGUGGGGAGGCGUUACCAACAGAAGAAGCACCGGCUAAUUCCGUGCCAGCAGCCGCGGUAAUAC
rnacentral:rRNA from 1 species